CUCCUGGGCUCAAGUGAUCCUCCUACCUCAGCUGGAACCACAGGGACGGUGGGAGCUGUAUCUCCGUCUCCCAACCUCCAGUGGCAGACAGAUGGAUAGAGCUAUAUAAUCAUCAAUGGAAGUGUGUGAUAUUCUGUCUUCACAAACCAUCGUGCAAAGCAGACCCAACGGCCUUUUGUCUGCUUUUAGAAAUGACUGCAAGAAUCCUCCCAGCUGUCAAGUUAUGGGGUGAAUAUGUAUAAAAUGCAUCAUGUAUGUGUACCUGUAGAAAACACUGGAUUGGGAUGUGCAGAGGAAAUAAAGCAGACACUUUUUUAAAAA